GCCCCAACCUCGGGGUGCCGGAUGAUCCGGCUGAGAUGCGAUCCACGCGAACCCGUUGAACCUGAACCGGUUAAGACCGGCGGAGGGAAGGUAGCCGGAUAGUCC
rnacentral:ncRNA from 2 species